UCACAUCAGGCUCUCAUCCAGAAAAUUGAUGGCAGCAAUUUCUUUUGAACAAGACCAAUGCAUCUGCUCCAUUCCGUGGCCCUGAUGGAACUGAUAACGGAUAACAACAAAUGAUGUUUUUUCUGUAAGUUCUAUUUGUCACAUAUAUUGGUUAGUGAUCAGAGAAUUAACCUGUUGCUAGUUUUGUGUGGUUUUUUUGUUUGUUUGUUUGGUUUGGUUUGUUUGGGGGGGGGGGGAGUUCCAUAAGUUCUGGUUCUUCAUUGGUUCAUUCCUCUUCUUAUAAUCAAAAAUCAGGGGUGAGCUUUGUACAUACAUUGGGAAACAGUUGACCUUGUGCUCAUGAAGGUCAAUGGGCAUGCAAACAGGUCUAGUGAACUCAGCUGUGCUGGGGGAGCUCCUCCCAACAGCUGUGGUGCAAGAGCUAUGCACUUUGCAAACUUUACUGUCAAAAUAAGGGUUACUUGGGCUUCAGGAAACUUGAUCUUGGGAAUAGGCCUCUUCUCCCAGGUAACGGUGAUAGGAAGAGAUGGAAUGGCCUCAAGUUGCACUGGGGGAAGUUUGGGUUGGAUAUUAGUGGUGAGAGAUUGGAAUAGGAUGCCCAGGGAGGUGAUGGAGUCACUGUCACUGGAAGUGUUCAAGAACUGUGUAGAUGUGGCACUGAGGGACAUGGUCAGCUCCAGAAGGGUUUAUGUAGCCUGUUGCAUGGUGUACACUCUUUUUCACUCUCUGUACUUGAAAAGUGAGCAGUAUUCCUGGCUUUUUUGUGUGGUUUCUCAGCCACAAGUUUGUUCAGUGUUUUUAACUUGGCUCGUGUGAUUACAAAGGAAAUAGCGCAGUAGUCCCUCAAACUGAGGGAAAAGAGCAAAUCAAAACACACAUCAGUCUCCUUAGCCAAAGUGCUAACUACCACAGGGCUGAGGAAAAUGCAGUGUACAUGAUUUUACUGCAUGUGAAAAUGAAGAGAUGGGAAAUGAAAAAAUAUACCACCCUGUCACUGAAAAAUGUGUACCUACAGAGUUGAAGCAAUGACUGAUACUGUGCAGGUGGUUUUCCUCUUGCCAGGGAGAAGUGUAGUGGGGCCAGAGUCUUUUAAUCUGUUGUAAAUAU
rnacentral:lncRNA from 1 species